AGUGAAUGCUGGCGGUAGGCCUAACACAUGCAAGUCGAACGGCAGCACAGUAAGAGCUUGCUCUUACGGGUGGCGAGUGGCGGACGGGUGAGGAAUACAUCGGAAUCUACUUUUUCGUGGGGGAUAACGUAGGGAAACUUACGCUAAUACCGCAUACGACCUACGGGUGAAAGCAGGGGAUCUUCGGACCUUGCGCGAUUGAAUGAGCCGAUGUCGGAUUAGCUAGUUGGCGGGGUAAAGGCCCACCAAGGCGACGAUCCGUAGCUGGUCUGAGAGGAUGAUCAGCCACACUGGAACUGAGACACGGUCCAGACUCCUAUGGGAGGCAGCAGUGGGGAAUAUUGGACAAUGGGCGCAAGCCUGAUCCAGCCAUACCGCGUGGGUGAAGAAGGCCUUCGGGUUGUAAAGCCCUUUUGUUGGGAAAGAAAAGCAGCAGGUUAAUACCCCGCUGUUCUGACGGUACCCAAAGAAUAAGCACCGGCUAACUUCGUG
rnacentral:rRNA from 1 species